CCUUACCUACUCUUGACAUCCUGCGAACUUGGUAGAGAUACCUUGGUGCCUUCGGGAACGCAGAGACAGGUGCUGCAUGGCUGUCGUCAGCUCGUGUUGUGAAAUGUUGGGUUAAGUCCCGUAACGAGCGCAACCCUUGUCCUUAGUUGCCAUCAUUUAGUUGGGGACUCUAAGGAGACUGCCGGUGACAAACCGGAGGAAGGCGGGGACGACGUCAAGUCAUCAUGGCCCUUACGAGUAGGGCUACACACGUGCUACAAUGGCAAGUACAGAGGGCCGCAAAGCCGCGAGGUGGAGCUAAUCUCACAAAGCUUGUCGUAGUCCGGAUUGGAGUCUGCAACUCGACUCCAUGAAGUCGGAAUCGCUAGUAAUCGUGAAUCAGAAUGUCACGGUGAAUACGUUCCC
rnacentral:rRNA from 1 species